rnacentral:rRNA from 1 species
UACGUAGGGCGCAAGCGUUAUCCGGAAUUAUUGGGCGUAAAGAGCUCGUAGGCGGUUUGUCGCGUCUGCUGUGAAAACUGGGAGGCUCAACCUCCAGCCUGCAGUGGGUACGGGCAGACUAGAGUGCGGUAGGGGAGAUUGGAAUUCCUGGUGUAGCGGUGGAAUGCGGCAGAUAUCAGGAGGAACACCGAUGGCGAAGGCAAUGUUCGUGGCUCGUUUCUGACCGCU